GUAUAUACUCACUAUGUGUAGAGGUGACGGUGAGGUGGUGUGUAGAGGUGAGGUGGUGUGUAGAGGUGAGGGUGUGUAGAGGUGAGGGUGUGUAGAGGUGAGGUGGUGUCUAGAGGUGAGGGUGGUGUGUAGAGGUGAGGUGGUGUCUAGAGGUGGUAUAUACUCACUAUGUGUAGAGGUGACGGUGAGGUGGUCAGGCCGUGGAAGGAGAUACUGUAGUCAACGGUGACGUCACCAAGGCUGGCCCACCACCGGGCGACACAUAACUCUACUGUCCUCCCCGACUAGAGAGGAGAGACACUCAGUCAAAACAGCAUCACAGAGACACAUAACUCUACUGUCCUCCCCGACUAGAGGAGAGACACUCAGUCAAAACAGCAUCACAUAACUCUACUGUCCUCCCCGACUAGAGUGGAGAGACACUCAGUCAAAACAGAAUCACAUAACUCUACUGUCCUCCCCGACUAGAGGAGACACUCAGUCAAAACAGAAUCACAUAACUCUACUGUCCUCCCCGACUAGAGGAGACACUCAGUCAAAACAGCAUCACAUAACUCUACUGUCCUCCCGACUAGAGUGGAGACUCAGUCAAAACAGCAUCACAUAACUCUACUGUCCUCCCGACUAGAGAGGAGAGACACUCAGUCAAAACAGCAUCACAGAGACACAUAACUCUACUGUCCUCCCGACUAGAGGAGAGAUACUCAGUCAAAACAGCAUCACAUAACUCUACUGUCCUCCCCGACUAGAGUGGAGAGACACUCAGUCAAAACAGAAUCACAUAACUCUACUGUCCUCCCCGACUAGAGAGGAGACACUCAGUCAAAACAGCAUCACAUAACUCUACUGUCCUCCCUGACUAGAGAGGAGAGACACUCAGUCAAAACAGCAUCACAUAACUCUACUGUCCUCCCCGACUAGAGAGGAGAGACACUCAGUCAAAACAGCAUCACAGAGACACAUAACUCUAC
ensembl:lncRNA